rnacentral:tRNA from 1 species
CUUUGGCGCAGUAGGCAGCGCGUCAGUCUCACAAGCUGACGGUCCCGAGUUCGAUCUUUGGAAG